GAUGGGAUUCGGAGUGCCACUGUGGCAGACUUCAAGGAAUUCAUACAGUUGAACAUUGAUGCUCCUUAUCAAACAUGUAUAUAGAUUUUUUCGAAGGAGCUUUCAUCCGGCUCCUUUGCAGCAUGGAAUUGAUUCGUUUCUAGAAGAAUCGGCCAUCUGAGAAUUCAAGAAGAACAUCUCAAACUCAGGUCCUUCCACUAAAUAUAGACAAUUUUGUCUAUAUUGAGACAAUUUUGUCUAUAUUUGACAAUGCUUUUUACUCCUGGACUACAGUCAAUCCUUGUGCUACUAUGGAUGUCGGUCGAUCAAUAGAAGCCAUAGAUCCUGCCUCUUAGCUUAUGUCACACAUUUUUGAUUGGUCAUAAUGUUUGUGUAUCAAAUAUAGAUCACCAGGAUUUUACACAAGUGUGAUGUGCGUCCUCAGUGACCUACCAACCCCAGUAGAAUCCGUCUCCUCAUGUCCCUUCCUGUCCUCUCCACUGGGCUUAGUCCUUGAACCUGUCUGCUGGACUCGCUUGCGCUCCUGCUUGUCUCGGUGAACAUUCAACGCUGUCGGUGAGUUUGGUAUGGAUCACAUGAAAACCAUCGACCGUUGACUGUGCCCCGCGGCUUGUCCCAUCGACCAGAUGAAAGAUGAAACACAGUCAACCUGUUGGAGGGAAGAGGUUGUGCUACACCAGGGUGUUUGGCCAUGUACAUGCCAGGAGGGUUUAUUUCGUUCUUUCAUAAUCAGCACUCAAGACAAACACACAGUUCCUUUCUCUCCCUCAUCUUGUCCCGUCCGGCCCCUCCAAAGACCCUUCCCGUCCAAAGGUCACAAUCAACAUUCAUUGCUGUCGCUGGGUUGGACUCUGUAAAAAAGCUCACUGAACAAUGAGUGCAACUGUGGCCCAGUUCUACACCAGACUGGAGUAGAAUAUCUCAGCCGUAUCAUCCCGCAUUCUGAUUUCAUUUAUUUGAUCUCCUCUCUCUCUCGCUCUCUCUCUCCCUGGUGUCUUCGGGGAGAGGGAGGGAUGUAAAUAGUGUUCGUCUGACUGCUUCCUCAUCUCCCUCUCCUCUAAUUGGAGGUUGUGUGAGCAGCGAGGGGGAAGGAAGCUCACUGAAUGUGUAAUCAUCUGGAGUCUCUCCUCCUUUAGCUGUUUCAUCCCUCUCUUUUUGUGUCUGUAAUUAUACAGGGGACUGUGUGUGUUUGUGUGUGUGUGUGUGUGUGUGUGUGCGUGUGUGUGUGUGUAAUUAUAGUCGGCUGUGUUAGCUCCAUGGACUAAGGGGCCCAAAGUGCCCUGCCGACUGCCGCAUCCUCAGCUGGAGUUCUGUUCUGAUCCCUUCCUGUGUGUGUGUGUUUGUGUGUGUGUGUGUGUGUGUGUUUGUGUGUGUGUUUGUGCGAUAGGGGAAGGGGUGUGUGCAAAAAUAUUCAGCUAUAAUGAGCUCAGCGUUCUCACUCACAACCCAAGAUUGAGUUUUCCUGUCACUUCUAAAUACAGAAAUGUGAUCAUUGCCAUCUCAGUGACUUGACUUGAGUCUGCUUCCUCGGUCCCUGCCUCAUUAUCUAUGUUUGGGCAGCGUUGGAGGACUGUCUGCCUUGGUGUGUGUGUGUGUGUGUGUGUGUGUGUGUGUGUGUGUGUGUGUGUGUGUCACUGUCUGGCUGACUGUGUGUGAGGUUAUUGCCUGCGUCUCAGCCUGUAACCGUGUCUUCAGUCAGGCAGGCUGUCUGAGGUGUGCACUCCUAUUGCUUUUUUCUCUCCUUUUCAUCAUUUAUUCUCAGACAUAUUGACUUCCAUAUUGACUGACUACACGCAAACACAGGUACCCAGGUGUAAAAUGCUGAGAGUUAACCUUAUGACACACGAUGAUGACACAGCUCUAACUUCAAUUGUACGUUUGACAUUUGGUUUAGUGUGUGUGUGUGUGUGUGUGUAUAUUUUAUAAUAACUGCUUAAUAAAACUGAAUGAGAUCCAAA